AUAAUUAAAAUCACUACAUUAGAUCAUAGUAUGAUGAACCAUUUAUGCCGAGAUACACACGGAGCAACACAUAGAUUAAAGUCAAAUCUAACAAUAUAGGAAUGAUCAGAUCUCCACUCAAAGCAGGAUUUGGUACAUUUGGUCCCGAAGGAAAUCCCAGAUUAACCAGUGUGGUGUGGUAGAUAGUUGUUUACAUGAACUGACAGAAGUAUACCAAGUAACAAAGUUAGUUAUUUACAGCCAAGUUCAAUGCCUCCAAACCAAAGCUUAACUCCUAACAGGAAAUGUCUCCAAAUAUUGUGGCCAAACCUUGGAACCUGAAAAAAUGGAGAGAAAAACGAAAUCAGGAAAUGCAACAGAGAGGAAGUCACAUAGGAUAAAACUAUCUCAUUGCACCUGCCAUAUACAGUACUGCUAAGAAAUUUCAUUAUUAGUUAUUUUGUAGAUUUUUUUAUAGAAUUAGCUCACUGAUGAGAGCCAACUGAAACUUUGCUGAAAUACAAUUUGAUGUGAUAAACAUUUUUACAAUAGUUAAAGUCGAAUGUGCAUAUAUACUUAAGCAUGUACUGUGUAAAAUAUAUAUCUUCAGAACAGGAGAAUCAGCAUGCAUAUCAUCUGCAAUUUUUCUAAUAAAAAUGUUUCCGUACCAUCCAUCGUCUCAACCUUCUGAAUCCAACUAAUCCAAGUUCGCCAUCGCCGUCAAUGGGACAUCCAGCUCAUGAAAGGAUAAAUAGCAAUAAAACAUUUAUGCACUACUCGUGUGUGUACAUGGUAGGACUAGGGUUCCUACCGGCUCUACUCCUCAGGUUAUAAGGGCAGAACAGCGGAGGUUGGGGGCGAGGGCGCGUGCUCCGGCGCGUCAGCGCCGUCGCGAGGGAAGAGGAGGGCGGCGGCGGUUAGGGCUGGCGGCGGCUAGGGUUCCGGCUCCUCUGGGAGCCGGGCAAUAGGGAUAGAAAAUAUCUUUAUUGCUUAAUUCUGAAAAGAGUCUUACAGCCUAUAUUUAUAACCUAGAUAACUUGCAUAAUAAUUAACCUAAGAUAACUUGUGGGCCAAGCCCCUAACUACUGCCCAGUGGGCCUCCUUCGGUUAUAUGCUAAACCGGUCAUAACAUCUCUCCCCGCCUGCGCAAACAGCUCGUCCUCGAGCUGAAAGUCUGGAUAGUGUUGGUGGAAGUCGUCACGCUGCUCCCAAGUAGCCUCCUCCUCCGGAAGGCCCGCCCACUGGAUCAGAACGAACCACACCCCACGACGGAGCUGCGCCCGCAACACCUUCUCCGGCUCCGGAAGAAGACGGCCGUCGGCGGUCGGAGGAAGCGCGGGUGGAGCGGCCGGUGGCUCUCCACGAAAAGGCUUGAGCAGCCCCACAUGGAAAACGUCGUGGAUGCGAGCACCGGCCGGAAGCUGAAGGCGAUAGGCCACCUGCCCAAUGCGCUCCAAGACGGCGAAAGGCCCGGCGUAGCGAGGCCCGAGCUUGCGCUUCGCGCGCGGGUCGAGUGACUGCGUAGAGCGGUGGAGAAGACGCAGCCACACCCAAUCACCCACCGCGAACUCUGCCUCGCGAUGGUUGCCGUCGUAGUAAUGCUUGGCCAGCUGCUAGGCCUGGAGGAGACGCUGACGGACCUCAGCGAGCAUCUCGUCACGAGUGCGAAUAAGCUCGCCCGCGGCCUCCGUCCGUGCCGUUGCCGGGUCCACCGGCAAGAUAGGCGGAGGCGGCCGACCGUAGACCACCUCAAAUGGUGUAGCACGCAGGGCGGAGUGAUAGGAGGUGUUGUAGCAGUACUCCGCCCAUGCGAGCCAAUCCACCCAAGCACGAGGGCGAUCACCUGUAAUACAGCGCAAAUACAUGGCAAUCACCUUGUUAACCACCUCGGAUUGGCCGUCCGUUUGAGGGUGGAAGGCCGUGCUCAGGCGGAGCUGGACGCCCCCCAUCCUGAAGAGGUCGCGCCAAACAUGGCUUGUGAACACCGGGUCCCGAUCACUGACGAUCGAAGAGGGGAACCUGUGAAGACGAACGAUACCCUCGAAGAAGGCACGGGCCACGGACGCGGCAGUAUACGGAUGCCCCAGCGCGAUGAAGUGGGCAUACUUGGAGAAGCGGUCGACCACAGUGAGAAUGACUGAUUUGCCGCCCACUUUGGGAAGGCCCACGAUGAAGUCCAUGGAGAUAUCGGCCCAGACCUGAGACGGCACGUCCAAAGGCUGAAGCAGACCAGCCGGCCGUAAUGUCUCCGUCUUGUUGCGCUGGCAUGUCAUGCAAGAUCGCACCCAGUCACGGACUAAGGCACGAUCACCAGGAAUGUAGAAGUCGGCGCGUAGACGAUGGAGGGUUUUCUGCACAUCCUCAUGACCAGCCGAGUGGGCCAGCAACAGGACCUGGUGACGAAGAUCAUCAUGUGCCGGAACAAAAACGCAGCGCCCAUGGAGAAGCAGGCCGUCCGUGAAGCGCCAAGGCUCCUCCAGGUCGCCGGCAGCCAGCUGCUGCCGAAGGAGGACCGCGUCGGCAGCGGUCGCCAUCGCUCGGCGAAUCUCUGUGAAGAGGCCGAAUGUGGGCCCGGAGCGGAUGCACAGCGCCGUCCCCUCGGAGGCGCCGACGGUGGAGUCGAGGUCGGCGUCGCGGCGCGACAAGGCGUCGGCCACGGUAUUAAGACGACCCGGACGGUACUCGACGGAGAAGUCGACGGAGAAGUCGAAGCCGAAGAGCUUGCUAUUCCACUGAUGCUGCAGUACGGUCGAGAGCCUCUGGUCCAGCAAGAACUUGAGACUAUAAUGGUCCGUGCGAAUCUGGAAAGACCGGCCCCACAGAUAGGGCCGCCAAUGGCGCACGGCCUGCACCAAGCCAAUGAGCUCCCGCUCGUACGGCGCGAGCUUAAGAUGGCGCAGAGCGAAGGGCCGGCUGAAGAAGGCGAGAGGACCAUCGCCCUGAUGAAGCACGGCGCCGAACCCCGCACCCGAGGCGUCACAGUCCACCACGAAGGGGCGGUCAAAAUCCGGCAUCUGCAGAACGGGCCCCGUCGUGAGGGCCCCCUUGAGGGCCUCGAAUGCCGUUGUCGCCUCCUCGUCCCAGGCGAAGGCGUCGCGGCGCAACAACCGCGUGAGUGGAGACGCAAUGAGGCCGAACUCCCGGAUGAACUUCCGGUAGUAUCCGGCGAGGCCGAGAAAACCGCGAAGAGCCCGCGGUGAGUGCGGCGUCGGCCAGGCUGCGACGGCCGCCACCUUGUCGGCGUCCAUAGCCACCCCGUCGGCCGAGAUGACAUGGUCGAGGUAGGCGACGGAAGGCGUCCCGAACGAGCACUUCGAGCGCUUAAGAUGAAGAUGGUGCGCCCGAAGCUCGUUGAAGACGAUGGCGACGUGCUGGAGGUGCUCUGCCCAAGAGGCGAUGUAGAUCAGAAUAUCGUCAAAGAAAACGAGCACAAACCGACGUAAGUAGGGCCGGAGGACGUCGUUCAUCAGGGCCUGGAAGGUCGCCGGGGCGUUGGUGAGGCCGAAGGGCAUCACCAAGAACUCGAAGUGGCCAUGGUGAGUCCGAAAUGCCGUCUUGGCGAUGUCAUUUGGGUGCAUGCGCACCUGGUGGUACCCCGACCCGAGAUCGAGCUUGGUGAAGAAGCGCGCCCCGUGUAGCUCAUCCAGGAGCUCAUCAACCACCGGAAUAGGGAACUUGUCCUUAAGCGUAACAGCAUUAAGGGCACGGUAGUCGAUGCAGAAACGCCACGUGCCGUACGACUUGCGGACAAGAAGCACUGGCGCGGUAAAUGGCGAGGUGGAGAUCCGAAUGAUGCCUGCCGCGAGCAUGAGCGCACACUGCCGCUCCAACUCGUCCUUCUGCAGCUGCGGGUAACGGUAAGGACGCACCGCCACCGGCGCGGAGCCCGGCAAGAGAUGUAUACGGUGAUCAUAUGCGCGGGCGGGCGGAAGACCCUGUGGCUCGGUGAAGAGGUCGCCGUUUUGCUGCAAAAGGUUCUCAAAGAGCGGAUGCUCGGCCUCGGAGGUGGCCGCGGCCAGCUGAAGCUGAGGUGGUAGGGGCGUGGCGCCCCCAACGCCGUCCCACCGAAUGCGGCGGCCCAGGCGCCAGAAGGUCAUCAUCAGCGCGUCGAAGUCCCAAAGAAUGGGACCGAGGGUCCGUAGGAAGUCGACGCCAAGGAUGAUGUCGAAGCAGCCCAAGUCGAUGCCCGCACAGGUGAUGGAGAAGUGUUCCCCGCCGAUGGUGAUGGGUACGUCCCAUGCGAGGCCAUGGCACCGGAGGCGAUCGCCGUUGGCCACCGUGACCCGAAGUUGCUCCCCGCCUGUCGGCUGAAGCGCUAAGCGACGCAUGGUAGCCUCGGGCAGGAAGUUAUGGGUGGAGCCUGUAUCCACCAAGGCCACCAAGCGCUCGCCGUGGAUCGUCACCGGCAAGAGCAUGGUCCGCUCGUCACGGAUCCCGGCGAGCGCGUGGAGAGAGACCACGAGCGCCGUCGCCGGGGCAGCCGCGGGUGCGCCCUCAGCCGCCGCUUGGGGUGGUAGUGCCGCGGCCUCAUCGGCCAAAGCGUCCUCCUCGGUGAAAUCGACCGUCUCCAAGUAGAAGAGGCGCGGGCACACAUGGGUCGGCGUAUAGGGCUCGUCACAGUUAAAGCAGAGGCCCUGGCGUCGCCGCUCCAUCUGCUCCGCCGGAGAGAGACGCCGAAAGGGGCACGUCGAGGCCGAGGUAGUGGGUGCCGGUGUGGCCGGGGGCGGCCGGCCUGGUGCAGGUGGCGGACGGCUGGUCUGCCGGCCUCCUCGGGCCGGGGUAGCCGGCAGCAUGGCCUGGGCGCGAGCCUCAAAGGCCCGGGCGUAAUACAUGGCCGUCUGGAGAUCCUGAGGGCCCCGAAGCUCCACGUCGACGCAAAUGUGAUCCGGAAGGCCACCAACAAAGAGGUCGGCGCGCUGUUGCGCCGUCACGCCCGACGCAUGGCACGCCAAGGCCUGGAAGCGGUCGGCGAAGUCCUGCACCGCAGAGGUGAAAGGAAGGCGGCCGAGCUCCGACAGGCGGCUCCCGCGAACCGGGGGCCCAAAGCGGAGGAGGCAGAGCUCGCGGAAGCGCUCCCAAGUAGGCAUGGCACCCUCGUCCUGCUCGAGAGCAUAGUACCACGUCUGUGUCGCGCCGCGGAGGUGAUAAGAGGCAAGCCAGGUCCGCUCCGAAGCAAGUGUGCGCUGCCCGCGGAAGAACUGGUCGCACUGGUUGAGCCAGUUGAGGGGAUCCUCCGUGCCGUCAUAAGUGGCGAAGUCGAUCUUGGCGAACCGCGGCGGUGCCUGGGAGGGAACACCGUGUCGAGCUGGCUCGGAGGUGCGGAGCAGCGAGGCGGGUGGCGCCUGGUCGGAGUACUCCGAGUAGGGACCGGCGGAACCUGAUGGCCCCCCGAACUGCGGGAACGGGGUCGGCUGUCCGGGGGCCGUGGUGUAGACCGGCGAAGGCGAAGACCCAGCCACCCACGCUGGAAGUGGCGACGGGGAAGGCGGGAACCGGACCUGAUGAAGCGGGAGGCCGGUCGGCGAGGGUGCCCCCGAGCUAGGCAGGGGCGGCGCCGAUGGUUGUAGCGUCGGUGGCAGGGAGUGGGCGGGGGCGUCGGUGGCCGCGGGGGAGGGUGGCUACAGGUACCACAGAGGGGCCGCGGCCGGCGUGGUCCCGCCGGGGUGUCCCGCCUGGAACGGCAUCUGCUGGAUCGGCCAAGGGCCCGAUGACGUCGUCGGCACCGAGGGCCAGAGGGGCGCCGCGGCAGCUGGAGGGCCGCCCGGUGAAGCCGCCUGGAACGGCAGCAUCAGAGGGGCACCGAACGGGGAGACGCCGUGGGCCGGCCACGGUGGGUGGCCGUAGGCGGUAGCGGGCGCCGUCGGCAGGUGCAUGUAGGGCCCGGCCGCGUACUGCUGCUGCUGCAGGUGGAGGCCCUGGACGGCGGUGACGAGGUCCCGCAGGGUAGCCGUGACCUGCUCCGGUGUGAAAUCGGCGGACGGCGGUGGCGCAGAGGGCACCGGGGAUGGCGGCGCGGCCGGGGCCGCCGUGGAGCCGAGGCCCGCCAGCGCGGUUGUCCCGGCGGCGGACGUUAUCGGCGCGGUGAGGGGCGGCGCCGUCGUCAUCGGCACGGUGGAGCCGCUGGAAAGCGCCGGCGGUGGUGGUGGCAGCGACAUGAUCGGAAUUUGGUCUCUGAUUACCAAAUUGGUAGGACUAGGGUUCCUACCGGCUCUACUCCUCAGGUUAUAAGGGCAGAACAGCGGAGGUUGGGGGCGAGGGCGCGUGCUCCGGCGCAUCGGCGCCGUCGCGAGGGAAGAGGAGGGCGGCGGCGGUUAGGGCUGGCGGCGGCUAGGGUUCCGGCUCCUCUGGGAGCCGGGCAAUAGGGAUAGAAAAUAUCUUUAUUGCUUAAUUCCGAAAAGAGUCUUACAGCCUAUAUUUAUAACCUAGAUAACUUGCAUAAUAAUUAACCUAAGAUAACUUGUGGGCCAAGCCCCUAACUACUGCCCAGUGGGCCUCCUUCGGUUAUAUGCUAAACCGGUCAUAACAGUACAUAACAAUGGAAUAGAAAACAAUGAAAAUGUCUCAUUCAUCUGCUUCCUACUGAACCAAAGUGUGCUACCUCCGAGAAACAAUCACCAAAAUAACAUUUAAAAUUAGUAAAGGAUAAUGCUACAAUUUUCAGAUUGUCGGCACAGAGGUUAGAGCUAUCAUCGUGACAAUCUAUUGCCAGAUAAAUCAACUACUUAAGUGUAAUUAUAUAACUUCUAUUGCAUUACCUCAAAAAAAUAGUAUAGUAAAAAGGCAUGGAUUCAAAAACUUCUCCAAAAUCAUCUACUGGAAAAAUAAAUCAGAAAGACAAUGUCUGUCAUAUACACACACACAGGGGGGUCUAGAAGAAGAAAAAUCGGAUCAUCUGUAGGUGAUAUACCUUUGCAGAAGGACAACCUUAGAGGUACACUAAGUAGACUUCAAAGUGUGUAAACUGAUCUAAUAGGUGAAAGUUUAAUUCAACAAAUAUGGCAAUCACUAACUGCCCUAUAGUCAAGAGAUUGUAUCACUAAGCUGCCCCUUCUAAGCAAUAAUGGUAGCAGUUGCUUGCAGGGUGAGAAAGGUUAACUUUCCGAUAAGCAGACAUGCUUCAUUAUGAUCAAAACCAUAGCCUUGUUAUAUUACCUGACGAUAUUGGGUGACUGAAACUUAAAGUCCACUAAGAAGUAAACGUCACAGGUUGCAGAACAGGACCAGGCUUGAAUUUCCAAACGUUUAUCAAAUGAUCAAAAAGUACACUUUGAGACGCUAUCGUCUGCAGCAGAGCAGUAUAGUCAGAAGCAAAAAAACGCAACUAAGCAAUCAUGGAGGGAAAAAGACCAGAGUACUACAGAGAUCUGCCAAUAUCACUAAUUAAUACUGAAGCCAAAGAAGCACCCUCUAGAUUGACUAUAGUCAGAUUAACCAAGUUGAUAAGUAGACUUUCAUCGACUAACAAUAUACGGUAUUUGUUAGACCAAAGAUAAAGAAGUUACCACGCUUGUUAUAGAAGGAUAGAAGUUCUCACAUUACUUGAAAACAAAGACGCAGAUCUACACUGCUUAUUAUGGUGGUGCAGAAGUGCCAGUUAAUCAGAUAAAAAAAUAUGUAUCAGAACUGUUAUAGCUUUAUAAGACGAAAUUGGACGACACUUCCUUCAGUAUUUACUGUGCCAAAAUAUUUACUCUGACCUCGAAUGGCACUCACGAAGAAAUCUUGAACUAUGAAACCAUGUGAGCACGGUCUAUGUUACCGUAAAGGACAAAGAAUAAAAAAUAUACAAAAAGGAGAUGACCUUUGUACAGUAAGGAAAACUAACCAUGAAUAGAUGAAUCUUAAAGUACACAAUGGGAGUAAGACAGGAGUUUGUUCAGUAGAUUUACCAUUGGGCAAAAAUGUUAUUAGUAGGCUUAAGACACACGCAUGAGGCAUAACAGAGAAUGAAUGCCAGAACAUGGCAUCAUAAAAAAUGCACAGAAUAGGCCGAACCCUGACUCAGGUAACAAAGAACAUGGGAUAUAUUAUGCUCUCUCUUUAUGCCAGAUUGGUAUUCCAGCAUCCAGUACUGGCUGCUAGCUUUGGAAAAGUGAACUCAAGAAUACUUUCUGAGUACAAAGCAGAAGAUCUUGCAGCAGCUCCAGUCAACUCUUUCACGUACAAUACUGGAUAGGUACUUUCUCCAGACAUUCGAACUACCAUGCGCCACUAUGAAGUACUCUCUAGUGUGCAUAUAUUUCUUCUCAAGAUAGCCUACUUUGUGGCUAAUUUAUCAGGCCUAAAUAGUGCAGACUGGCCGUAUAUCGGCAAGGUGAUGAUGAUAGCAGUUGUGGUUGCAGACACACAUGAAAGAUUGUCUUUUUCAAAAUGACAGAAACGAAUUUAGAUGUGCAUGAGAUCAGGCAUACCUCACAUGGAGCAUGGGUGGUCCAUUGAUGUUGGUAGAACGGCGAGAUUGUACGACGGCUUAUGGAGUACGGGCAGCCUGCGGAGUUGGUAGAAUGGUGAGGCUGUAUAGAGCUAUGUUCGAAACUUGCGGCACGACGAUGAGCCAAAUAACUGCAGAUUAUCCCAGAGAGUUAGAACACACACAAAAUUAUUUAACCUUGCAAUUAGAAUCCAAAGGGUUCAGUGAUGUCUUUUCCCUUGAUGACAGAUUCAAAAUAUCUGGAUAUAAAUUGGGUACUAUUUAUUAUUAGAUAUAGAUUGAUUGAUGAGAUUGUAGCAAUAACAACAACAAGCAGUAGCAAGCUACAUCUCUGUUCUCUAUCUAAAUGUGCAUCAAUUAGUAGCAUCAUACAUCAUACAAGAAGCACCAUACAUCUAUCUAAAUGUGCAGCAAUCAGUGUCCCUCCCUCCCUCUCUAUCAUCUCUCUGCUUUCUCUCUCUUCCUCAUCUACCUCUCUUAUUUUUCUCCACAAGAGCAGAUCAGCAUCGAACUCUGUCUCUCCUCUGUUCUCUAUAUAUAUCAGCAGCGGCCAGCAGCAGAUCCAGCAAGCCCUCAAUCUAAAUAUGUGGCAAUUAGCGUCUCUCUCUGCUCUUUAUCUCUCAUCUCUCUGCUCUCUCUCUUCCUCACCUAUCUCUAUCUCUCAAGCAGCAGCACCCAGCAUGCCCUCUGCUCUCUCCCUAAAGCAGAAGCUCAUCUCUUCAAGUGCCUCCCCACCUUCAGCCACGGCGUCGCUGCCGCCGCCCCUGUAUCCACUCAUCGACGACGCCAUCUCUCCCUCCCCUAGAUUCUCAAAUUGCUUGGAUGUGAAAGAAAAUGGAGGGAGGGAUGAACCUGCGCUGGCCGCUGACGCCAGGACAGCACCUCCUUCGCGUCGCCCGUCAAACCACUGCCCCGGCCCCGGCACCACCGGCAACGGCCCG
rnacentral:lncRNA from 1 species